rnacentral:misc_RNA from 1 species
GCAUUUUCGAGCCAGAAGUGGAAACGCCUAUUCGGAAAAAUCAGCCCACGAGACUGAAUUCUGGUUCCACUUCGAUGCGUUGGAAAAGGCGACAAAAACAAAGAGAUAGAGCGGUCCCAGCGAUUCCGUUUUAAUUGGAACCGCUCUAAUGUGAAACAGGUAUGGCUGUUCCGAUAUCCGGGUGGAUUUCGGCU